rnacentral:rRNA from 1 species
GAUGAACGCUGGCGGCGUGCCUAAUACAUGCAAGUCGAGCGAACGGACGAGAAGCUUGCUUCUCUGAUGUUAGCGGCGGACGGGUGAGUAACACGUGGAUAACCUACCUAUAAGACUGGGAUAACUUCGGGAAACCGGAGCUAAUACCGGAUAAUAUUUUGAACCGCAUGGUUCAAAAGUGAAAGACGGUCUUGCUGUCACUUAUAGAUGGAUCCGCGCUGCAUUAGCUAGUUGGUAAGGUGACGGCUUACCAAGGCAACGAUGCAUAGCCGACCUGAGAGGGUGAUCGGCCACACUGGAACUGAGACACGGUCCAGACUCCUACGGGAGGCAGCAGUAGGGAAUCUUCCGCAAUGGGCGAAAGCCUGACGGAGCAACGUCGCGUGAGUGAUGAAGGUCUUCGGAUCGUAAAACUCUGUUAUUAGGGAAGAACAUAUGUGUAAGUAACUGUGCACAUCUUGACGGUACCUAAUCAGAAAGCCACGGCUAACUACGUG